rnacentral:rRNA from 1 species
CCCUUAGACGUUCUGGGCCGCACGCGCGCUACACUGACCAGUGCAACAAGCAUCCGUCCUUGGCCGACAGGCCCGGGCAAUCUUUGAACGCUGGUCGUGAUGGGGAUAGACUUUUGCAAUUUUUGGUCUUCAACGAGGAAUUCCUAGUAAACGCAAGUCAUCAACUUGCAUUGAUUACGUCCCUGCCCUUUGUACACACCGCCCGUCGCUCCUACCGAUUGAAUGAUCCGAUGAAUACCAUGGAUUGAGAGUACGAAUGGGUUCGCUCAUUUCUGCUGCUCGAGAAGUGGAGUAAAUCUUAUCAUUUAGAGGAAGGAGAAGUCGUAACA